rnacentral:misc_RNA from 1 species
CUCUCCUUCUCAUUUUCGUUUCCUUCUCCAACCUUUUUCAUCUUUAUCUUCUUUCUUUACUCGUUUCCUCCAUAAAUAUACAGUGUUUUUCUCCUUUUAGGCUGUCCCUUUCAGUUGGCUGAAGAUUGAAGGUUUUUGAAUCGAAGCUGACCAGGUUUUGGGUUGGAGGGAUUGUUCAAAGAAAAUGUCUAUAUAUGAGCAGGAUUCAGAUGUAAUCCAAUGGGGUCUUCGUCUUCUUGACGGGGACCUACCGUUUUAUUCAGGCUAUUAUGGUGGUUCAGUACAAAUUGGGGAUGAUUAUCAUGGACAUUAUAUCAGAGAUCAUUAUGACAUAUCAGAUUGUGCAGAUGAUGAGAUUAUUGCCCGCAGGAUGCAAGAAAAAUUUUCACAGCUAGCUAUUGCUGAAGCCUCUGGAUACUCGCCGGCAAGAGAAGAGCACUUGCAAACAUCCAUUCAUGAGCAUGAUUGGCACGGUACAUUAACAAGGAGCUACAGUACAGACCAUGAGUAUAAUAGUCAUGAAGUUUCUGAUGAUAUUGUUGAUUCUAGUUCAUGUUCCAGCCCUGAUAAUGGGGAAGAUUAUUCCUCUUCUCCAGAAUUUACUGAUGAACAUGGACUGGAUGGGGAAGUAAGCAAGAGGCUGAAUCAAAUGAUUCCUAUCCCUCAUGUUCCUAGAAUCAAUGGAGAAAUACCGUCAAUUGAUGAGGCAACCUCAGAUCAU